ensembl:lncRNA
CUCGAGAAGGAGCUCAAAUGUCCCUGCAGCCUGCUUCUGCGGAUGCCCCAAGAGGAUGGUCCUGGACGGCAGUGAUGGGGGCCACAAGCCUCUGCUCCAUGGAACCUCUUCUGGGGAUGGUUGGGACGGAGCAUCAAACAGUAGUCUCCAGGCUCCUCUUCAGUGACCUUAGAAUGAACUCUGGCUAAGGACGCGGUGGCCGAGUCAUGACUGCCUGGCUGCUGAGUUCAAACAAUUGUUCAACCAACAGUUUUUGAGCACCACGAUGCGUCAGGCCCUUGAUCAGCGCUGGGACGACAGAAGAGCAUGAGCUGCACGUUUCCUGCUCUCCAGAGUGCCGACCCUUCCAAGGC